GUGCUCCCCCGCCAAUUCCUUUAAGUUUCAGCCUUGCGGCCGUACUUCCCAGGUGGCUCGCUUCACGGCUUCCCUACGGCACCGACCACGGUCGCACCGUGGCCGACACCUAGCGAGUAUCGUUUACGGCUAGGACUACCCGGGUAUCUAAUCCGGUUCGUGCCCCUAGCUUUCGUCCCUUGCCGUCAGAUCCGUUCUGGUGAGACGCCUUCGCCACUGGUGGUCCCUCAAGGAUUACAAGAUUUCACCCCUACCCCUGAGGUACCUCUCACCUCUCCCGGUCUCGAGCCGAUCAGUAUCUCCUGAAAGCCUGACAGUUAAGCUGCCAGAUUUCCCAAGAGACUUAGUCAGCCGGCUACAGACCCUUUAGACCCAAUAAUAGCGGUUACCACUCGAGCCGCCGGUGUUACCGCGGCGGCUGGCGCCGGUCUUGCCCGGCCCUUGCUAUGCAAUGCUUUUUAGGCAUUACGACAGCCAGGAUUGUAUCCUGACACUCGAGGUCCCCUUAUCGCUGUUUCCAGCAUUGUAAAGUUUUCGCGCCUGCUGCACCCCGU
rnacentral:rRNA from 1 species